GAUGAACGCUGGCGGCGUGCCUAAUACAUGCAAGUCGAGCGAACAGACGAGGAGCUUGCUCCUCUGACGUUAGCGGCGGACGGGUGAGUAACACGUGGAUAACCUACCUAUAAGACUGGGAUAACUUCGGGAAACCGGAGCUAAUACCGGAUAAUAUAUUGAACCGCAUGGUUCAAUAGUGAAGGACGGUUUUGCUGUCACUUAUAGAUGGAUCCGCGCCGCAUUAGCUAGUUGGUAAGGUAACGGCUUACCAAGGCGACGAUGCGUAGCCGACCUGAGAGGGUGAUCGGCCACACUGGAACUGAGACACGGUCCAGACUCCUACGGGAGGCAGCAGUAGGGAAUCUUCCGCAAUGGGCGAAAGCCUGACGGAGCAACGCCGCGUGAGUGAUGAAGGUCUUCGGAUCGUAAAACUCUGUUAUUAGGAAAGAACAAAUGUGUAAGUAACUAUGCACGUCUUGACGGUACCUAAUCAGAAAGCCACGGCUAACUACGUG
rnacentral:rRNA from 1 species